GCGUUCGUAGCUCAGUUGGUUAGAGCACCACCUUGACAUGGUGGGGGUCGUUGGUUCGAGUCCAAUCAAACGCACCA
rnacentral:tRNA from 2 species